rnacentral:rRNA from 1 species
AGUGAACGCUGGCGGCGUGCCUAAUACAUGCAAGUCGAGCGAAUGGAUUAAGAGCUUGCUCUUAUGAAGUUAGCGGCGGACGGGUGAGCAACACGUGGGUAACCUGCCCAUAAGACUGGGAUAACUCCGGGAAACCGGGGCUAAUACCGGAUAACAUUUUGAACCGCAUGGUUCGAAAUUGAAAGGCGGCUUCGGCUGUCACUUAUGGAUGGACCCGCGUCGCAUUAGUUAGUUGGGGAGGUAACGGCUCACCAAGGCAACGAUGCGUAGCCGAGCUGAGAGGGUGAUCGGCCACACUGGGACUGAGACACGGCCCAGACUCCUACGGGAGGCAGCAGUAGGGAAUCUUCCGCAAUGGACGAAAGUCUGACGGAGCAACGCCGCGUGAGUGAUGAAGGCUUUCGGGUCGUAAAACUCUGUUGUUAGGGAAGAACAAGUGCUAGUUGAAUAAGCUGACACCUUGACGGUACCUAACCAGAAAGCCACGGCUAACUACGUGCCAGCAGCCGCCGUAA